rnacentral:misc_RNA from 1 species
AACUUGCGGCAACGUGUCACUUGGCUCUCCUGUCGAUUAAGAACGCAGCGAAAUGCGAUAAGUAAUGUGAAUUGCAGAAUUCAGUGAAUCAUCGAAUCUUUGAACGCACCUUGCGCUCCUUGGUAUUCCGAGGAGCAUGCCUGUUUGAGUGUCAUUAAAUUCUCAACUCUCCUGUGCUGUUUUGCAGAGGGGAGCUUGGAUUGUGGAGGCUUGCUGGCCACUUGUUGGAGGUCAGCUCCUCUGAAAUGCAUUAGCGGAACCGUUUGCGAUCUGCCACAAGUGUGAUAAAUUAUCUGCACUGGCGAGGGGAUUGCUCUCUGUGUUGUUCGGCUUCUAAUCGUCUCAAUCUAACGAGACAACUUCCUGAAUGCUUGACCUCAAAUCAGGUAGGACUACCCGCUGAACUUAAGCAUAUCAAUAAGCGGAGGCU